AUCGCAGAGUGAGGAAAUGUGCUGGCUUAGUCAGACAUGGCUACAUGCAUCACAUGAUCAACGCUGCCCUACAAUCCCCCGCUGUGUGCAACAAGUCAAGCUGCAGUCAGAGGACAAUAGAUCCAUCGUGGAAUGUCUGACAACACUCCUCAUGUCACUCGGUGCAACAAGGGAAGUCACAAGUUCUACUGGCCUUGGGCAGAACUCUAGGAAGCAUGGACACAGGUAGAGAGGAUAAGACAGCUGUUCCAAGUGACCUGUAAAACGUAACCACUGGUGAUGGAAGGGACGCUAGAUGGAAGAAGACGCAAAGCUGGUGGUGAAGGAAGGAGAGAUCAGAGAAAUGUGCUUGGAAAUGGCAACAGGAGUCCCCAGCCCAGGAACACAACCCCAGGAAUCUCUGUCCCUGCAUUGCUAAGGAGAGGACAAUUUCCCAGGAAAGACAAACAAACCAAAGCAACUCAAAUCAUUUGUUCAGGGCCAUGUGUACUGGUAUUGGUUUGACUCUAUAUCUCACUAGGGCAAAUAGAACAGAAGAGGCAGCUUGCUGAAAGCUUGUUUGGUGGCUCCUCACCCAACACUUAUUACAUUCUAUGGUCUCUGUGUUUCUUCCUCACUUUCUCAAGAUCAUUCAUGGUUCAGCUCUCCCGAGAGCGCGCCUCCACCAACACCCCACCAUGUUCGAGUGCUGAAGAGCAGAGGAAGGAAAGGACAGACACAUCACAGGGUCUACAGCCUCUGACGUCACAGCUUCCUACACCUUUAACCUAUGACCAAUCUGAACUCAACAGAGGUGAAAGAUUGAUACUUUGGCUGGACAUAUCGUUUCUCCCAUCAUUAUUGGCUGUGACUGCAAAGGAAAGAGUUGUAGAGGCAUCUGAUGGAAGCUCAAGAAAGAAAUGGAAAACAUGCUUCAACAGUAUGUCAGUUUUCAAAUACGUCUUAAAAUCAUUUAAACACAUAUAAUGACCAACAUCAACCAGCUACAACCCUGAGACCUACAACAGUGACGUGCCUGCAAGAUAUACUGGUACAGUCGUGGCCAUAUUUGUUAUGGGAAGACCCAACCAUCUUUUCAUUGGAUACAAGGCCCAAUCCAUUACAUGGAGCCCAUAUAUGACACUGCUAUAGUAUCUAAGAACCUGAGACUGGUUAGGUAAUGAGCCCAGGGGAAAACCACAUACUAUUGUUACAAAAUGACUCCUAAUAACAUUCCGCUAUACCCAUAGAUCAGUGCUUUGUUCGGCCCUCAUCAGAUACAACAGAACUGACACACACAGAACAUGAACUCACAGAGGCUACAGCAGCAUGCAUAGUUCAAGCCAGACAGAGUCCCAACACUGAGAGGAGGAAGCGGAUGAGAGUCCCACCCCUAACCAAGAAACUAUAACUGGUUCCCACUGGCAAAGGGGAUGGAUCAGCAGCCAUGCCAUAACAACACUGAUGAAAACUACAGAGACUCACUGACUUGGAACUGAGGCCUCCUGAAAAUAGCCAUGGUUUCUGUGUGUAGCUUUGGAGCCUGUCCUGGAACUCCCUCUGUAGACCAGUUUGUAAUUAAGCAU
ensembl:lncRNA